UACGUAGGUGGCAAGCGUUAUCCGGAAUUAUUGGGCGUAAAGCGCGCGUAGGCGGUUUUUUAAGUCUGAUUUGAAAGCCCGCGGCUCAACCGUGGAGAGUGAUUGGAAACUGGAAAGCUUGAGUGCAGAAGAGGAAAGUGGAAUUCCAUGUGUAGCGGUGAAAUGCGCAGAGAUAUGGAAGAACACCAGUGGCGAAGGCGACUUUCUGGACUGCAACUGACGCUGAUGUGCGAAAGCGUGGGGAGCAAACAGG
rnacentral:rRNA from 1 species